GUUGGUUGAAAAUCACCCGAGGCUUUGUCCGUAGCCCCGGGUGAGAUUCGGUGCCCACAGCCACUGGGGUCUUAGCUCACCGCCCACUCGACAGUGUGGAGAGGUGAAACCCAGGCCCCGACAUGC